CCACGAUUCAUACUGUAUUUGAUGACAAAACUUACUAACAGUAACUAGCCAUGUGCUUUUUUUCUAGAGAAGAGCAAUCUAAUCAGAAUUAUCUUUCAUUAUGCAUGAAUGACCAACAAAAUUUUUUAGGAGAGCAGUUGUCAUCUGGAAAAUCACCAGACAAUAUUAGCUCUGUCAGUGUGAGAGUUGACAGAGCGGGAGCAUCACCUUCUUGGACAAGCCCCUCAUUCUAAAGUUCACCUUGAUCAAAAACCUCCUGAAUCCAAAGGGCAUCAGCCUAAUGCCUAAGGUCAGCAUUACCAUAAACCACAAAUACCAUCCCUGACCAGAAACAUUCCAAACCCCUCCCCAACCAGAGACAUGCCAGCCCCGAGGUAAGCCCCCUCUGGCUGGGAAGAUGCCAGCCCCAA
rnacentral:lncRNA from 1 species